rnacentral:rRNA from 1 species
AUGACGGCUCCAUAUAUUGCCAAAAAAUAUCUUGAAGAUAUCAGAGAUAAUGAGACGAUUGAUGCACAAUCAUUGGGGAAAAAAGUGCAGAAGGACUUCAACUUGGCUGCUGGAAGAAUGAAACUACAAAGGGGAAAAAAGAAAGCAAUGACUGUUAUUAGAGGUGAUGAGGAGAAGCAAUACAAUUUGCUUUGGGAUUAUGCUCAGGAGAUAAGGAGAUCAAACCCAGGGAGCAGUGUCUUCCUAAACUUGGAUGUUCAUGGUUUGUUCCAGACUAUGUACUUCUCCCUUGAUGCUUGUAAGAGGGGGUUCUUAGAGGGCUGUAGGCCUCUACUUUUCUUUGAUGGUUGCCACUUGAAAACUAGGCAUGGUGGUGUGAUGUUGACAGCAAUAGGGAUUGACCCUAAUGAUUGUGUUUUUCCAAUUGCAAUGGCUGUGGUGGAUGGGGAGAACAAGAAUAGCUGGAAGUGGUUCAUGAACACUUUGAAGCGAGACUUGAACAUCAGCAACACUGCGGCAUAUACCAUCAUGUCAGAUAAGCAGAAAGGUUUGAUACUUGCAGUAGAACAAGAAUUUUCAGAUUGUCCACAUAGGUUUUGUGUAAGACAUCUGUACCAAAACUUCAACACGAUUCACAAGGGGGAAGUUCUCAAGGAUCAACUUUGGGCUUGCGCUAGAUCUAGCAACACAGAACAGUUGGAAAGAAACAUGGAGAAACUCAAGUUGUUGAGUCCAGAAGCACAUGCAUGGCUUGAUGGGCACCCAUCAGACCAAUGGUGUAGAGCCUUCUUUGAUUGUUUCUGCAAGAGUGACACACUAAUGAAUAAUCAUUGUGAAGUGUUCAACAAAUACAUACUUGAUGCUAGAGAGCUUCCUAUCCUUAGUAUGUGA